UGCUAGUCGCACGAGUUCAACUCGUGGCAGAUAGCUCAGUAACACGUGGUCAAACUACCCUGUGGAGGGGGACACUCUCGGGAAACUGAGGCUAAUCCCCCACAAGGCUCUCCCACUGGAACAGUGGAGAGCUGGAAACGCCCCGGCGCCACAGGAUGUGACUGCGGCCGAUUAGGUAGACGGUGGGGUAACGGCCCACCGUGCCCAUAAUCGGUACGGGUUGUGAGAGCAAGAGCCCGGAGACGGAAUCUGAGACAAGAUUCCGGGCCCUACGGGGCGCAGCAGGCGCGAAACCUUUACACUGCACGCGAGUGCGAUAAGGCAACUCCGAGUGUGCUGGCAUAGUGCCAGCACUUUUCAGCACCGUAAGGUGGUGCUGGAAGAAGGACUGGGCAAGACCGGUGCCAGCCGCCGCGGUAAUACCGGCAGUCCGAGUGAUGGCCGAUCUUAUUGGGCCUAAAGCGUCCGUAGCCGGCCGGGCAAGUCCGUUGGGAAAUCCGCGCGCUCAACGCGCGGGCGUCCAGCGGAAACUGCACGGCUUGGGACCGGAAGGCUCGAGGAGUACGUCCGGGGUAGGAGUGAAAUCCCGUAAUCCUGGACGGACUACCGAUGGCGAAAGCACCUCGAGAAGACGGAUCCGACGGUGAGGGACGAAAGCUAGGGUCUCGAACCGGAUUAGAUACCCGGGUAGUCCUAGCUGUAAACGAUGCCCGUUAGGUGUGGCACAGGCCACGCGCCUGUGCUGUGC
rnacentral:rRNA from 1 species